UAAAUAAAAUAAAAAUAAAAUUAACUCUGUGGAAGUAUUACCAUUAUCCUGCUGAAAGAAAAGCCAUGUUAAUCAUUUCCGAUUUUGCCUUUAUGGGGGUAAAAUCCUAACAGAUUGACAGGGACAAUU